rnacentral:lncRNA from 1 species
UCCCUCAAAGCACUCAGAACAAAUUCCACUUCUCCAGUCAUAAGAUUUUAAAAGCUUAUGAGAGAGAGUUUGAGGCAUAUCCGGUGGGAACCCAACAUGGGAAGAUGCUUAGAACUCGCAGGACAGCUCAACCACUUAAUAGCACCACGUUUCGUCUACAAAGUAGGUUAUGAUUUAUUUAUUAUAGCAAUUAGACUUGGGAUAGACUCAUUUAACAUUGAUAGUAAUGUCGGGAGUUCUCAU